UUCAAUGGUGGCUGUGUAUGGGUGACCCUUGUGGUCAGCCGGGAUUCUUGAGGCCUCGGUCUUGCAGGCCCGUAUGCAGCCGCCACCCAU
rnacentral:antisense_RNA from 1 species